UCACUUUCUGGCAGACACGGUGACGCACUGGGCAACUGUCGCCGAUAUCAAAAACCGCCACUGAUACCAAGUACGUUACCUUCUUGUCCUGCGCCAUCCACAACUUACUCACAUACUCAAGUAAUGUUACUCGAGUAUUACUAUUUGAGUUGUAUUAUACUUGAUUAGUUGGGAGAAGUAUCGAGACAAGUUCUGAAAAAUGCACCGACUUCCCAGAUAAACAGAUGUCACCAUUGGAAGUCACCAAGAAACUGCAGUAAUGAUAUUCACUUUAUUGCGGCGUUCUCCCUCUUGAGUCAUGUAGUAUCUCCAGUGAAACACUCCCUGAAGUUGAUUUUCAUUGAAUCAUCUGGAGUCCAAGACUUUGUGGGUGUCCUGUGGGCUGAUGAAACUGAGCUGGUGCACUGCAACACCAACCUUAACAAAGCAGAACCAAAACCAAACUGGCUUAAAGAAUUCAUGAAAAGCAAUCAAGAACACAACGACUUGUACACUCAAGAGUGUCUUCAUAGUCAACAUUUUUUAAAGACACAUUAAAUGUAUUGAGAAGGAGUUGCAGCCAAACUGAAGGUGUUCACACCCUUCAGAGAAUGUAUGGAUGUGAAUGGGACAAUGAGACUGAAGAGGUCAAAAGUUUUGAUCGAUAUGGUUAUGAUGGAGAAGACCUUAUGGAAUUUAACCAGGAGACACAGACAUGGCUCAUUUCAACUCCUUGUGCUAGCAUUGUCAAACACAAGUUAGACAAUCAGCAAAUUAGAAUAGCAGAUAUUAACCAUUACCUCACAAACGUGUGUUCUAAAUGGCUGAAACAGUAUCUGGACUAUGGAAAAUAUUUUCUACAACGAACAGACUGGCCCUCAGUGUCUCUCCUCCAGAAGACUCCCUCCUCUUCAGUCAGCUGCCACGCUACAGGUUUCUAUCCUGACCGAGCCGUCAUGUUCUGGAGGAAAGAUGGAAAAAAACUUUAUCAAUUCACGGACCGUGAACAGAUAUACCCUAAUCAGGACAGGACGUUCCAAAUUAAUGUAGUCCUAAAACUUUCAUCAGUCACAUCUGAGGACUGGUCAAGGUAUGACUGUGUGUUUCAGCUUUCUGCUGUCAAAGAAGACAUCAUCAUCAAACUGGACCAAAAAGUGAUCAAGAGCAACAGAGAUUAUUUAAUCUGUACAAGUCCCGAAGAGAACAAUGAUUAUUACCUUGAAGUUUUCGUGGGGUUUUUUUUUGUUCUGCUCAUCAUAGUCCUUGUUUUCAUCGUGUACAAGAUUACAGAGGACUUGGAGACUUUGAAGUACUCCCCCAUCGCUGCACUGGUUCUUGCUCUCAUCCUUUGUUGUUUAACUGGAGUUCACUUUUAUAAAACGAAUACUGAUUUCUCCAUAAUUCUUCGAUCUGAUUAUGCGUUGAAAUGGAGAGAGCCAUUACCUGGAAUACAAUGGGGACCCUGAAACAGGACUCUCUCUGUAUCGCCAGUUCUUUCCUCAGUGGCUCUCCUCCAGAAGACUCCUUCCUCUCCAGUGAGCUGCCACACUACAGUUUUCUAGCCGAACAGGGUCGUGAUGUUUUGGAGGAAAGAUGGAGAAGGAGAGAUCAUCACGAACCAUGACGGGACCUUCCAGACGAGUGUCGAUCUGAAUGUUUCAUCAGUCACAGCUGAAGACUGGAGGAGAUAAAACUGUGUUCCAGCUCUCUAAUGACAGCAUCAUCACCAAACCUGACAAAGGAAUGAUCAGAACAAACCGAGCUCUUCACGACACAACUGAAGGCAAAUGGACACUAUAGCCUGUAUGCCAAUAAUUAAUAGAUGCUGAGAUACAAACUGUGUACACUUCUUGUUAAACAACUUUCAUAGUUUAUUUGUCAAACUUACAUGUCGUGUUUGGAUAUUAUAUAUCUACUUUUUAGCUUUUUUAUGGACAUCUUAUCACCACUCACACAUCACAAACACAAUCUUCUAAUAUCUGUUUACGUCCCACCGUCAUCUUUGAAGAAGGAAACUGUAAAUGGUUAAAGAGUCAGCAUUCAUCUGUAAUGAGUCAUUCACAUGUGAACAAUGACUCAGUGGGGAUGUUUCCGUCGGCUGCCUCUGGCUUUAUUCCAGCUUUGCUACAUUUUUAAAACAGCAUCCAUUUGUUUUCUAUUGAACAACGACAUCUACAGAUUUUUUUGAAAUUUACUUCAAACGUGUAAUUUUCACUUUUGGACUUUUGGAGUCACUGUUUUCUGAUGUUUAGGUACACUGAAAUUUUAAACUUGCUGUGUGGAUUUCUUA